ensembl:lincRNA
CGUCCAUUGAAAACUUACUGUGCUCAAGGCACAGAACGGGGUAGUUUUAUACACAUUUCCCCAUUUGGAUUUUUCAAAGACAACAUCUAAUCAUCCCCAGAGAAAUUUCAGCUGAGAAGACAGGAUGAUGAAGUGCCCUGGGGGCCAGAGUCCAGACAAGUAUUUUGGCACCUCCAAGGACUGGCAGAACACAGAGAGGAAAAGAGAGACCCUGUUAUCUUUCCGCAGGGGUGGCCGUUCAAACUCUCAGAGAUGGAAGUUAAGAUUUCCUUUGGUAUAAGUGGCAGUUUGACUGGCUGCAAGGAGAGCCUCAGUUUGUUUAAUUUGGAGUAAAAUUUUAUGAGUUAAUCUCUAGUGAGGGAAAGCAGCAGUAAA